AUUUUGGACAAUGGGGUAUACUCUGAUCCAGCCAUCCCGCGUGUAUGAUGAAUGCCAUCGGGUAGUAAAGUACUUUUGCCAGAGAAGAAAAGGUAACCCCUAAUACGGGAUACUGCUGACCGUAUCUGCAAUAUAAGCACCGUCCAACCACGUCCCAGCAGCCUCGGUAAUACGUAGUGUGCAAGCGUUAAUCGGAAUUACUGGGCGUAAAGCGUGUGUAGGCGGUUCGGAAAGAAAGAUGUGAAAUCCCAGGGCUCAACCUUGGAACUGCAUUUUUAACUGCCGAGCUAGAGUAUGUCAGAGGGGGGUAGAAUUCCACGUGUAGCAGUGAAAUGCGUAGAUAUGUGGAGGAAUACCGAUGGCGAAGGCAGCCCCCUGGGAUAAUACUGACGCUCAGACACGAAAGCGUGGGGAGCAAACAGG
rnacentral:rRNA from 1 species